rnacentral:ribozyme from 1 species
UUUACAGAACAAAAAAGCAAACUGGAAAUUUCUAAUUCCUUUUUUUUUUUUUCCACAUUCCUUCCGACGUAAUCA